rnacentral:lncRNA from 1 species
ACUGAAUGGCUUCCCCUAUGUCCCUUUAGAGGUUAUCUCAAGUUAUAUUUGUUGUUUUGUUUUGCUGUUUUGCUUGAUAAGAUAAGAAAGAAAGCAGGAGGGAGGUGGAGGUGGAAGUGGAAGUUUAUUGCGGCGUCAUAAGUUUGUCAUGUCUAGAUGAAAGGAUGAACCUAUUCCGGUCGUGUGUAAUUGUGUUUACUUUUAGCCGUAUCUCACCGAACUUUGAAAGUCAGUGAAGUCCAAAUCAACCCUUAACAACUUCUUCUCUCUAUCUCGUUCAACACCAUUUCAGCACAACAAAAUAUUUUGUACAUCAGUUACAUGUGAACUUACACCCUCUAACUGCAACAGACUUGGUACCUUAUCUACUCCAGGUUGAUAGUAUCAGACCGGCCAUUAAAUUCCUAAUUGCAGCAGCAGUUUAUGGUUCUAAUCACUGAGGAUUUUUGAAGUAUGAUCAUCGGUUACUCUGCAUCAUCCUGAAUCACCCAUAGAGCAUAUAUUUUGAUGAACUGUUUUUACCGCGACAUGUGUUUGGUUUCUUCUAAUCUUCAGUAAAUUAUCUCUCCAGGUAAGCUAAGAUCAUUACUCAUUGAACAUUCUACCUUCCAUUUCAGGCUAAGGAGCAUAAUAGGCAUAUAAAGGCACAUUAUUCUUAGAAGUUUCCUUUUAAUAUCAUCCACUUGAUAAGGGACGUUAGUUCGACACAAAUCAAAACUGGAAUAAUGGUCUCAUCAAUCAGCUCUGUGAUUUGAGAAAAUUUUUGCCCAAAAAUAUUCAACAAAAUCAAAGUUUUGCCUCUAACUUUGCUGUUCAACAAAUAUAGUUUUAAAAAGUUAUCAAGUUUUUACCUCCCAUGUUCAGGACUACUAAUUAUUUCUUUAAAAUGUGAGUCAAUGCUUUGUAUGGCUUGAGAAUUAACUGGACCAAUCGCAAUCCAUUCUUGGGAAUAUUAAGUUGAGAAUGUCUCUGUCAAAAACUUACAUUUUGAUUUUAGACAUAUUAUGAAAGAAACACCCUGCUGUUAAAUCUGCCCUCAUGCAUAAAAGCUUCUUUUUGAAUCACUGCCUUUUUAUUAAGAAUUCUUGCUUGCGUCUCCAUAAUCAUGUCAUGGACCACUAGACAAGGUACGAAUCGGAGCAUUCUGAUACACAUCUCUUGACCAGAAUUUCACUUAGAACGAUAUUCUUGCAUCAAAAAUUACUGAAAGCAACUCCUAACUAAGAUAUCAAUGUUUUGAUUUUAUAUUGGUCACGGGAAACUUGAAUUGCCUAAUUACUAGAAACUCAAUACUCUAUGUAAGUCAAAUCGCGUAACACAAAGGUUCCGACAGGUUUCUUAAUCGAACACUUUUCAUUUCCCACCGUGUAUAGUUCAAACUAUAUAUAACUUGGUAUAUUGCUGAGCCAAAGCUUCAAAAUUGAGGUUUCCAGAUUUUUACAUCGUAAAGACUGUCAUGGUAACGUUUAGUGCGCGAUUUGACUGACGUAGACCAUUGAGUUUUCAUGAGCGGGAGGUUU